CCCCCCUGGCAAUGGUCAAAGAGACACCUUGUUGAUGGUGCUGUUCUUCUGUCAGUCAGGGACAGAGCAGGUGGCAGUCCUGGGUUCAUCCUAGCUUGAUACCUGACUUGGUAGCCAAGGCUGCUUCCUGACUAGGACACAUGA